CCUACGGGAGGCAGCAGUGGGGAAUAUUGGACAAUGGGCGAAAGCCUGAUCCAGCCAUGCCGCGUGUGUGAAGAAGGCCUUCGGGUUGUAAAGCACUUUCAGUGGGGAAGAAAGCCUUGGGGCUAAUACCCUCGAGGAAGGACAUCACCCACAGAAGAAGCACCGGCUAACUCCGUGCCAGCAGCCGCAGUAAUACGGAGGGUGCGAGCGUUAAUCGGAAUUACUGGGCGUAAAGCGCGCGUAGGCGGUCUGAUAAGCCGGUUGUGAAAGCCCCGGGCUCAACCUGGGAACGGCAUCCGGAACGGUCAGGCUAGAGUGCAGGAGAGGAAGGUAGAAUUCCCGGUGUAGCGGUGAAAUGCGUAGAGAUCGGGAGGAAUACCAGUGGCGAAGGCGGCCUUCUGGACUGACACUGACGCUGAGGUGCGAAAGCGUGGGUAGCAAACAGGAUUAGAUACCCCGGUAGUC
rnacentral:rRNA from 1 species